AUUGAACGCUGGCGGCAUGCUUUACACAUGCAAGUCGGACGAGUGGCGAACGGGUGAGUAACGCAUCGGAACGUACCUAGUAAUGGGGGAUAACUGUCCGAACGGACAGCUAAUACCGCAUAUUAUUCGUUCGGCCGUUGUUGGAUUAGCUGGUUGGGGUGGUAAAGGCCCACCAAGGCGACGAUGAUUAGCGGGUCUGAGAGGAUGAUCGGCCAGACUGGGACUGAGACACGGCCCAGACUCCUACGGGAGGCAGCAGUGGGGAAUUUUGGACAAUGGACGAAAGGCUGAUCGAGCCAUGCCGCGUGUCUGAAGAAGGCUUUCGGAUUGUAAAGCACUUUUGUCAGGGAAGCGGUACCUGACCAGUAAGCAACGGCUAACUACGUGCCAGCAGCCGCGGUAAUAC
rnacentral:rRNA from 1 species